UACAGAGGGUGCAAACGUUGCUCGGAAUCAUUGGGCGUAAAGCGCACGUAGGCGGUCUGAUAAGUCGGAUGUGAAAGCCCUGGGCUCAACCCAGGAAGUGCAUUCGAAACUGCCAGACUUGAAUAUGGAAGAGGGUCGCGGAAUUCCCGGUGUAGAGGUGAAAUUCGUAGAUAUCGGGAGGAACACCAGUGGCGAAGGCGGCGACCUGGGCCAAUAUUGACGCUGAGGUGCGAAAGCGUGGGGAGCAAACAGG
rnacentral:rRNA from 1 species